UUUUUAUACAUUCAUCCAUUUCUAUUGUUAAAAAUGGGCGUAGCUGAUGGAAUAAUCAAACAGUUACACAUGGCAUGCCACAUGUACCUCAUGUUGACGUACAUGGACCAAUUUUUAAUGGUAGAAAUUGAUGAAUUUUAAUC
rfam:Gossypium arboreum cultivar AKA8401 contig_1428_3, whole genome shotgun sequence.